GACGAACGCUGGCGGCGUGCUUAACACAUGCAAGUCGAACGGAAAGGCCCUGCUUUUGUGGGGUGCUCGAGUGGCGAACGGGUGAGUAACACGUGAGUAACCUGCCCUUGACUUUGGGAUAACUUCAGGAAACUGGGGCUAAUACCGGAUAGGAGCUCCUGCUGCAUGGUGGGGGUUGGAAAGUUUCGGCGGUUGGGGAUGGACUCGCGGCUUAUCAGCUUGUUGGUGGGGUAGUGGCUUACCAAGGCUUUGACGGGUAGCCGGCCUGAGAGGGUGACCGGCCACAUUGGGACUGAGAUACGGCCCAGACUCCUACGGGAGGCAGCAGUGGGGAAUAUUGCACAAUGGGCGGAAGCCUGAUGCAGCAACGCCGCGUGCGGGAUGGCGGCCUUCGGGUUGUAAACCGCUUUCGCCUGUGACGAAGCGUGAGUGACGGUAAUGGGUAAAGAAGCACCGGCUAACUACG
rnacentral:rRNA from 1 species